GAUGAACGCUGGCGGCGUGCCUAAUACAUGCAAGUCGAGCGAACAGACGAGGAGCUUGCUCCUCUGACGUUAGCGGCGGACGGGUGAGUAACACGUGGAUAACCUGCCUAUAAGACUGGGAUAACUUCGGGAAACCGGAGCUAAUACCGGAUAAUAUAUUGAACCGCAUGGUUCAAUAGUGAAAGACGGUUUUGCUGUCACUUAUAGAUGGAUCCGCGCCGCAUUAGCUAGUUGGUAAGGUAACGGCUUACCAAGGCAACGAUGCGUAGCCGACCUGAGAGGGUGAUCGGCCACACUGGAACUGAGACACGGUCCAGACUCCUACGGGAGGCGGCAGUAGGGAAUCUUCCGCAAUGGGCGAAAGCUUGACGGAGCAACGCCGCGUGAGUGAUGAAGGUCUUCGGAUCGUAAAACUCUGUUAUUAGGGAAGAACAAAUGUGUAAGUAACUAUGCACGUCUUGACGGUACCUAAUCAGAAAGCCACGGCUAACUACGUG
rnacentral:rRNA from 1 species